rnacentral:tRNA from 2 species
GCCAAUGUAGCUCAACGGUAGAGCUCCGGUUUUGUAAACCGGGGGUUAUCGGUUCGAAUCCGAUCAUUGGCU